AGAGUUUGAUCCUAGCUCAGGAUGAAUGCUGGCGGCAUGCUUAACACCUGUAAACCGUAGGUUAAUUGGUUUAUUUAAGUGGCGAAUGGGUGAGUAAUGCGUAAGAGCCUUACUUUUUAGAGGGGAAUAACAAAUGGAAACUAUUGCUAAUACCCCCAAGGCUGAGGAGCAAAAGGAGGAAUCUGCCUAUAGAAGGGCUUUCGUCUGAAAGUUAGUUGGUGAGGCAAUAGCUUCCCAAGACAAUGAUCGGUAGUUGGUAUGAGAAGAUGAUCAACUACACUGGGACUGAGAAAUGGCCCAGACUCCUACGGGAGGCAGCAGUGAGGAAUUUUUUGCAAUGGGUGAUAGCCUGACGGAGCAAUGUCGUGUGGGGGCCUAAGGCCUUCGGGUCGUUUAUCUAUUUUCUCAGAAAGUAAUAAAUGAAAGUAUCUAAGGAAUAAGCAUCGGCUAACUUUAUGCCAGCAGCCGUAGUAAGACAGAGGAUGCAAGUGUUACCCAGAAUUAUUAGGAGUAAAGCAUUUGUAGGUGGUUUUUUAAGUCAGCUAUAAAACACUAGGGCUUAACCUUAGUUUAAGCAGUUGAAACUAUUAAGCUUGGAGUACGAAUAAGGGCAGAGUGAAUAUCCGUUGUAGCGGUGAAAUGCAUAGAGAUUGGAGAGAACACCAAUGGCGAUAGCACUCUGCUGGGAUGAAACUCACAUUGAGAGAUGAAAGCUAAGGUAGCAAAUGGGAUAAGAUACCCCAGGAGUCUUAGCCAUAAACGAUGGAUACCAAGUAUUAUGUGCAUCGACCCAUGCAGUGCUAUAGUUAACAUGUUAAGUAUCCCGUCUUGGGAGUACGUUCGUAAGAUUGAAACUCAAAGGAAUUGACGGGGGCCCACACAAGCGGUGGAGCAUGUGGUUUAAUUCAAUGCAAAGUGAAGAACCUUAUGAGGGCUUGAUAUUGCAUGAAUCCUAUUGAAAGAGAGGAGUGCUCUAGGGAUCAUGGAGACAGGUGGUGCAUGGCUGUCGUCAGCUCGUGCCGUAAGGUGUUAUGUUAAGUCCUGUAACGAGCGCAACCCUCAUGUUUAGUUGCUAUUUUAAUUUGAUGGAACUCUAAACAUACUGCCAGUGUUAAGCCAGAGGAAGGUGAGGAUGAGAAUAAGUCAUCAUGCCCCUUAUGCCCUAGGCAAUACACGUGCUAUAAUGGUUGGGACAAAAGUUGCAAUUCUGCAAGGAUGAGCUAAUACCAACACAAAAGAUUGGCCUUAGUUCAGAUUGCAGGCUGCAACUCACUUGUAUGAAGUUGGUAUCGCUAAUAAUCGCUGGUCAGCCAUACAGCGGUGAAUAUGUUCCUGGGCCUUGUACACACCGCCUGUCACACUAUGGGAGCAGGCCAUACCCAAAAUUCAUAAUUUGACCUCAUCAAUCAAAGGGAUGAAUUAAGGUAGGGUUAGUGACUAGACUGAAGUCGUAACAAGGUAGCCGUACCGGAAGGUAUGGCUG
rnacentral:rRNA from 1 species